rnacentral:rRNA from 1 species
UAAAACCAGCACCUCAAGUGGUCAGGAUGAUUAUUGGGCCUAAAGCAUCCGUAGCCGGCUUUGUAAGUUUUCGGUUAAAUCCAUGUGCUCAACGCAUGGGCUGCCGAAAAUACUGCAUAGCUAGGGAGUGGGAGAGGUAGACGGUACUCAGUAGGUAGGGGUAAAAUCCUUUGAUCUAUUGAUGACCACCUGUGGCGAAGGCGGUCUACCAGAACACGUUCGACGGUGAGGGAUGAAAGCUGGGGGAGCAAACCGGAUUAGAUACCCGGGUAGUCCCAGCUGUAAACGAUGCAGACUCGAUGAUGCAUUGGCAUAAUAGCCAUUGCAGUGUCGCAGGGAAGCCGUUAAGUCUGCCGCCUGGGAAGUACGUACGCAAGUAUG